GACCGUGUGGAUCCUUGGUUAGGUCACCGAGUUCUCGUAGUAGCGAACCGUCAAUGUAUUCUCGGAGGUGGUGGUUCGAUUCCACCCGCGGUCU